rnacentral:rRNA from 1 species
AGUGAACGCUGGCGGUAGGCCUAACACAUGCAAGUCGAUCGGCAGCACAGUAAGAGCUUGCUCUUACGGGUGGCGAGUGGCGGACGGGUGAGGAAUACAUCGGAAUCUACUUUUUCGUGGGGGAUAACGUAGGGAAACUUACGCUAAUACCGCAUACGACCUACGGGUGAAAGCAGGGGAUCUUGGGACCUUGCGCGAUUGAAUGAGCCGAUGUCGGAUUAGCUAGUUGGCGGGGUAAAGGCCCACCAAGGCGACGAUCCGUAGCUGGUCUGAGAGGAUGAUCAGCCACACUGGAACUAAGACACGGUCCAGACUCCUACGGGAGGCAGCAGUGGGGAAUAUUGGACAAUGGGCGCAAGCCUGAUCCAGCCAUACCGCGUGGUGAAGAAGGCCUUCGGGUUGUAAAGCCCUUUUGUUGGGAAAGAAAAGCAGCAGGUUAAUACCCCGCUGUUCUGACGGUACCCAAAGAAUAAGCACCGGCUAACUUCGUG